AUUGAACGCUGGCGGCAUGCUUUACACAUGCAAGUCGAACGGUAACAGGCCGCAAGGUGCUGACGAGUGGCGAACGGGUGAGUAAUGCAUCGGAACGUGCCCAGUCGUGGGGGAUAACGCAGCGAAAGCUGUGCUAAUACCGCAUACGAUCUAUGGAUGAAAGCGGGGGACCGUAAGGCCUCGCGCGAUUGGAGCGGCCGAUGUCAGAUUAGGUAGUUGGUGGGGUAAAGGCUCACCAAGCCAACGAUCUGUAGCUGGUCUGAGAGGACGACCAGCCACCCUGGGACUGGGACACGGCCCAGACUCCUACGGGAGGCAGCAGUGGGGAAUGUUGGACAAUGGGCGCAAGCCUGAUCCAGCAAUGCCGCGUGCAGGAAGAAGGCCUUCGGGUUGUAAACUGCUUUUGUACGGAACGAAAAGGUUUGGGUUAAUACCCUGGGCCGAUGACGGUACCGUAAGAAUAAGCACCGGCUAACUACGUGCCAGCCGCCGCCGUAA
rnacentral:rRNA from 1 species